UGGACAUAUCACAUUGAAACACUGGUUCUCAUACAAUCACUGGUUAAGCAACAUCAAGCCUGAUCAGUACCUAGAUGGGUGACCACUUGGGAAUACCAGGUGCUGUAA
rnacentral:rRNA from 1 species